CCUUCUUCGGGAAGAUCGCGACUCUCCCGUCGCUCGCCCCAAGCCUCUGCUUCAGGGCUAAGCAAAACCAGGUGCUUGCGCUGAGGGCUCUGCAGUGGCUGGGAGGACCCCGGCGCUCUCCCCGUGUCCUCUCCACGACUCGCUCGGCCCCUCUGGAAUAAAACACCCGCGAGCCCCGAGGGCCCAGAGGAGGCCGACGUGCCCGAGCUCCUCCGGGGGUCCCGCCCGCGAGCUUUCUUCUCGCCUUCGCAUCUCCUCCUCGCGCGUCUUGGACAUGCCAGGAAUAAAAAGGAUACUCACUGUUACCAUUCUGGCUCUCUGUCUUCCAAGCCCUGGGAAUGCACAGGCACAGUGCACGAAUGGCUUUGACCUGGAUCGCCAGUCAGGACAGUGUUUAGAUAUUGAUGAAUGCCGAACCAUCCCCGAGGCCUGCCGAGGAGACAUGAUGUGUGUUAACCAAAAUGGCGGGUAUUUAUGCAUUCCCCGGACAAACCCUGUGUAUCGAGGGCCCUACUCGAACCCCUACUCGACCCCCUACUCAGGUCCG
rnacentral:lncRNA from 1 species